rnacentral:rRNA from 1 species
AUGAACGCUGGCGGCGUGCCUAAUACAUGCAAGUCGAGCGAACAGACGAGGAGCUUGCUCCUCUGACGUUAGCGGCGGACGGGUGAGUAACACGUGGAUAACCUACCUAUAAGACUGGGAUAACUUCGGGAAACCGGAGCUAAUACCGGAUAAUAUAUUGAACCGCAUGGUUCAAUAGUGAAAGACGGUUUUGCUGUCACUUAUAGAUGGAUCCGCGCCGCAUUAGCUAGUUGGUAAGGUAACGGCUUACCAAGGCAACGAUGCGUAGCCGACCUGAGAGGGUGAUCGGCCACACUGGAACUGAGACACGGUCCAGACUCCUACGGGAGGCAGCAGUAGGGAAUCUUCCGCAAUGGGCGAAAGCCUGACGGAGCAACGCCGCGUGAGUGAUGAAGGUCUUCGGAUCGUAAAACUCUGUUAUUAGGGAAGAACAAAUGUGUAAGUAACUAUGCACGUCUUGACGGUACCUAAUCAGAAGGCCACGGCUAACUACGUG